rnacentral:rRNA from 1 species
UACGUAGGGUCCGAGCGUUGUCCGGAAUUACUGGGCGUAAAGGGCGCGUAGGCGGCCAGCACAAGUCAGUUGUGAAAUCUCCGAGCUUAACUCGGAAAGGUCAACUGAUACUGUGCGGCUAGAGUGCGGAAGGGGCAACUGGAAUUCUUGGUGUAGCGGUGAAAUGCGUAGAUAUCAAGAGGAACACCUGCGGCGAAGGCGGGUUGCUGGGCCGACACUGACGCUGAGGCGCGAAAGCUAGGGGAGCGAACGGG